UACGUAGGGUGCGAGCGUUGUCCGGAUUUAUUGGGCGUAAAGAGCUCGUAGGCGGUCUGUCGCGUCGGCUGUGAAAACUCGGGGCUCAACCCCGAGCCUGCAGUCGAUACGGGCAGACUAGAGUUCGGUAGGGGAGACUGGAAUUCCUGGUGUAGCGGUGAAAUGCGCAGAUAUCAGGAGGAACACCGGUGGCGAAGGCGGGUCUCUGGGCCGAAACUGACGCUGAGGAGCGAAAGCGUGGGGAGCGAACAGG
rnacentral:rRNA from 1 species